rnacentral:rRNA from 1 species
GAUGAACGCUAGCGGCAGGCUUAAUACAUGCAAGUCGAGGGACAGCACAGGUAGCAAUACUGGGUGGUAACCGGCAAACGGGUGCGGGACACGUACACAACCUUCCUUUAAGUGGGGGAUAGCCCAGAGAAAUUUGGAUUAAUACCCCGUAAUAUAGUUGAAUGGCAUCAUUUGAUUAUUAUAGCUACGGCGCUUAAUGAUGGGUGUGCGGCUGAUUAGAUAGUUGGCGGGGUAACGGCCCACCAAGUCUACGAUCAGUAGCUGAUGUGAGAGCAUGAUCAGCCACACGGGCACUGAGACACGGGCCCGACUCCUGCGGGAGGCAGCAGUAAGGAAUAUUGGUCAAUGGACGCAAGUCUGAACCAGCCAUGCCGCGUGAAGGAUUAAGGUCCUCUGGAUUGUAAACUUCUUUUAUUUGGGACGAAAAAGGGCCUUUCUAGGUCAACUGACGGUACCAGAUGAAUAAGCACCGGCUAACUCCGUGCCAGCCGCCGCCGUAAGAC